GCCAAAUCCAAGAAAAAGAAAAAUUUCCCUUUUAAGUCCAAUUUCUGUAUUACUCACAGGUUGUUGCUUUUAGUCCAAAUAUUCAGAAGAAGCCAGCGCUCUCCGUCAAUGGCAUGCGGCUUCACUCAGCAGGGGAAGCAGAGGACUCUCAGCACCGCGCCGCUCCCCGUCCCCCGUUCCGUAGCCUUUAAAAAGGCUCCUUCGUGGGUUGGGGGCGCAAACGGUGCCCGCCGAGUCACCAAGUCCACGGGCUUCCGCGCCCGUGGUUUUUAAGGGUCCCCGCUUCGCCGGCGCGGCAGGACCCGACCCCUGCUGAGCAGAUUCCCUCCGGAGCUCGGAGGGAAUCCGCCAUUCGACGAUGGCGCUAACCCUGAAGUCAUUUUAUAUAAAUUUUUGAAAACUUCAAUAAAUAUCUUUUUUUUAAAAAGUGUUAUAAGUUUAAUGUGCAUAUAAUGCUGUGCUUGAAUGCAUUGUAAUAAAAAUACUAUAAAGGGAAGUUUCUCUUAGACUUAGGCAAGAGGUUCCACUCAGACAGAAAUUAUUAUUAUUAUUAUUAUUAUUAUUAUUAUUAUUAUUAUGUAAUGAUCUUCCUCUGUUUCACUUCAGAUAAUUCAGUGGGGCCUCUUCUCAGUUCAUUCUCUUCUGGAUCAGUGCCUUAAUCCUUUGAAGAUUUUGUAUAUCACAUAAUAGUCAUUGAGGUGUCCCCAGAUGUUGUUGUCCAGAUCCCAUCCGCUUCAGCCAGCAGGGCAGACAGUCAAGGAUGAUAGAAACUCUAAUCUGGACCUCACCACUUGGACUCUGCUGCCCUAUAUCCUUCAUAUUGAAACAAAUGUGAAAAUAAAUUUUGGACGCUAUAGAUUUAUCCCGGUCUGGUGCAUGCAAUGUAUUUUGUUUUGCAGCUGUGUGAUUUGUGCUCAUAUUGUAUUGUGGUGGCCAUUGGCUAUAAACAAUAAAAUUUAUAGAUACAGUAGAUUGAAC